GGGUGGACAGAAAACAACUUUUACAAGCCAGCUGAUUAUUUGACUUUUAGCCAUGACCAUAGGAUUGUAGGACCCACCUUCCAACAAAAAAGAAAUAAAUUCAAUUAUUAACCAAGGAAAAAAAUGAAAAAUAAAUAAAUAAAUAACAGCACAGCAUUUGAUCUGGAGGGUAGUUGUGAAAGUCAAUGUCCUUUCCCACUGUUUGUUUUGGGGAAGGGUAGUGGGGAAUACAUUUGUGAAUCUUGGGUCAAUGUGUGACAGAGAAGAAUAGAGGAUAGUUGAAAUCAGUAGGGGUAUGUUUGGAUUGACCCUUGAAUAAUGUAUUAAUGAGCAUUUGAUGUGGAGGGUUUGCUUUUAAUUGUUCAGCGGCCAGGGAAGGAGAGAGAAACUGGAGAGAAAGGGAGGGGGGGUGUCUGAUGUUUCAUGGGGACACUGGUGAAAAUUAAGAGCUUCUUCGUUUUCUCUCUUUCGGUUCUCUGAAGCCCUUUUGCUGCUACAUUUUGUUUUUGGGGGUCUUUUGUGGGGUUUCUGAUUUCUUUUUGGGAUCUGGGUUUUGGGUUCUAGGGUUUGAGUCUUUGGGUUCUGUUCUUUCUCUUGGGGUUUUCUUCCAAUUUGUCCUGGCUUGUGUACUCGUGAAAACGGGGUUGACAGUUUCACCAAUGUUUUGAGUUCUGAAUUGUAAAGUUUUAUGAAUUUUUAGGGUUUUUUUUUUUCCUUUUAUAUGAACUGUUGAAAUUGGUCAUCUGGGUCACUGGAUUUCACUGAUUGAAGCCCAAGAUUUGUGGGUUUUUCUUAUUCUUUUCUUACAUUUCCGGGUUCCCUUUUAUCUGUUUUCAUCUAAAUUGAACCCUCAAUUUUGUGGGGUUUCUACAAAUCUAAAGCUAGGAGUUUUCCUUUUUUUUUUCUUUUGCUUUAUUCUAAUCCAACAAAGAUUAGGGUUUGAAACUGAACCAACUUUGUGGGUUUGUUGGAUGGGCUUAAUUCUUUUGUUCUAGAAAAACUUGGGCUAGUCUUCCUUUCUGGGUUCUUUUUCUCAGUUUGAUUGUAGAGAGAAGCUUUGAUGCAUCUCUCACUAUGGAAACCUAUAUCCCACUGUGCUUCUCUGAUCAUGGACAAAAAGAGCAGAAGAAAAGAUGGGUCUGAUUCAACAGUGGAGAGCAAGC
rnacentral:lncRNA from 1 species